CUGACACCAGACCAGCAGAUUCGUUUACUGAAAGCUGCACGAUUACAAUCAGUCAAUGGAGAAUUUCCAACACGCACUUAGUCUAUGUCAAAAGACAGGUGACGUGAGUGGUCAAGCUGAAGCAUACCAUGGUAUGGGUAAUGUGCACAGGUCUCAGGGCAAGUACGAGGACGCAAUGAAUAACUACCAACACGCACUUAGUCUAUU